UACGUAGGGUGCGAGCGUUAAUCGGAAUUACUGGGCGUAAAGCGUGCGCAGGCGGUUCGUUGUGUCGGCGGUGAAAUCCCGGGCUCAACCUGGGAAUGGCCGUUGAAACUGGCGAACUGGAGUGUGGCAGAGGGGGGUGGAAUUCCGCGUGUAGCAGUGAAAUGCGUAGAGAUGCGGAGGAACACCGAUGGCGAAGGCAGCCCCCUGGGCUGACACUGACGCUCAGGCACGAAAGCGUGGGGAGCAAACAGG
rnacentral:rRNA from 1 species